rnacentral:sRNA from 1 species
GCCAUGACUAGCCUCGAUAAAAUCUGGA